rnacentral:rRNA from 1 species
GACGAACGCUGGCGGCGUGCUUAACACAUGCAAGUCGAACGGAAAGGCCCUGCUUUUGUGGGGUGCUCGAGUGGCGAACGGGUGAGUAACACGUGAGUAACCUGCCCUUGACUUUGGGAUAACUUCAGGAAACUGGGGCUAAUACCGGAUAGGAGCUCCUGCUGCAUGGUGGGGGUUGGAAAGUUUCGGCGGUUGGGGAUGGACUCGCGGCUUAUCAGCUUGUUGGUGGGGUAGUGGCUUACCAAAGCUUUGACGGGUAGCCGGCCUGAGGGGGUGACCGGCCACAUUGGGACUGAGAUACGGCCCAGACUCCUACGGGAGGCAGCAGUGGGGAAUAUUGCACAAUGGGCGGAAGCCUGAUGCAGCAACGCCGCGUGCGGGAUGACGGCCUUCGGGUUGUAAACCGCUUUCGCCUGUGACGAAGCGUGAGUGACGGUAAUGGGUAAAGAAGCACCGGCUAACUACGUG